UUCUAGUUAAAAGUUACACCGAAACGCUGCGCGCAGAGCGUUUCACGCGACUCCAUCUUUUAGGCUGCGACGCGUGCGUGCGGUACAGUGGGCCCGCAGUGGGACGACAGCACGACGCGCCCGUCUCCUUGCGUGGGUGUGGGCCCGCAGUGGGGACGACAGCACGACGCGUCCGUCUCCUCUCAGCUCACGACGGAGCCACGACAGCCAGCGACAUCGCGUGACGGCGCGUGGGUUGCGCCCGCCCGGCGCUUCGCGUGGAGCUCGAUUGCGACACAGCCCCAGACCGCGAUGCAGAUCUCGGCUGCGACGCGGCUGCCAACGGCAGCGCGCCGGCGUCCGCGCGCGAGGACGGUCGUCGGCUGUCGGGCGUGCGUGGUGCCGUGAUCUGCGACGAACGGCGCGGGCGACCGGGUCUGUGAGACUGCGACGGAGUGACGCCGGCCAAGGACGUCGCGUGGGUUGCGGCCGGCGCUUCGCCGUUAGCCAGGUCAGUGCUCUCCUCUUCUGUGCCUCUUCUGUGGAUCUCGAAGUACGCAGCCGUGCUCCGCGGUGCCCGUGCCCAUAGGGUUAGGUGAGGGUUAGUCACCGGAUUCUAAAAUCCCACAAAUCCGCGCCCUGCCUUGCCUCGAUGCGUGCUCCGCAUCCGUCCCGUCGCCACUGCUUUUGCAACAGCGCCGGCUCGCUGUGCUUCUGUCCUUCGCCAUAGCGCCCAUGCCGCUGCUUUUCAUUUUACUACAUAUAUGGAGCACCUUCACUCGUCUCUUCCUCUUUCCCUCCGCCUGGUACUCGGCGCAAGUGCCUUUCUCCUCCUCGACUCCGUCGCCGUGAUCUGCUACGUAGCAGAAGGGCAGGCACGCGCAGAUCCUCUGGCUGUCCUGUCGGCCUCUUCUGCAGCUGUUCCAGUUCAGCAGCGUGCUUCCCCUAGAGGGAAACUCCGGACGACUACAACGAUCGCCCUAGGCACAAUCAUUUCCGACUAUUUCUUCCUUCGACUUGAACUGGUACCUGUUCGACAUCCUACUUCUCAAGGAAAUCUGCCAAUUUGAACACAAGUCUUUUCCAAUCUGAGAAGGCCGCUACUUUGUCAAGGUGACGCAUAAAUUUGUUUUAGCUCUAUUUUUCCCGACUUUCGUAUCUAUGCUUUUAACUUGCUAGGUGUGAUCUGUCCUUUAUUGUGUUUGUUGUACCUACAUAUGCAUCCUCUUUUCUCCCUAAAGCUUUCAUACAAUCUGUUGCGCUUCUUAAUUUGUGUUGGCCCCAUUUAUCGUUUUCCCCAAUACAAUCUUUUUCGCAUAUGAAUAUUUUAGUGCAGUAAACUCUAAACUUCCGUUGGCCAACUCAGGCUUCAUAAACUUCUAUCAGUCUGCUGAGGAUUUCAGUGCUUCAUUAAGGUACCUUUGAUUACGUCUUCCUUUAUGCCUUUCCAACAAUGUGUAAUGUUUUUAGUUUCUAAAGUUUCCUGUAUUAUCAUAUAUUUCUUCUUUCAAGUGUAAAUGACUUCUAAAGGGUUACAACUCCAGCUCUACGAUUUUCUGGAUCAUCUAAUGACUUACUUCACAAACCCCACCAAAUUUUUUGGAGCUAAAACUAUCCCAAACAGAACAUUGGAUUUGAUUAAUUGUUACACAUGACCUAUGCAUAUCAUCAAAACACCCAUGCUAAGUGAAUAUGUGGCUGCGCUUAAAGGUAUGUGAACCAACGGUAGUUUCAAAUUACAGACACUAUUUAUCUACUUUAAUAAUACUACUAAAAAUAUUGUUCAUACAAAUUUCUUUAUGUUAAACCAUGGACCGUAUGCUUAUGAUUUGCCAUCUAUGAUUUAAAUACGUUUUCCUUUAUACCAUCAAUGAAUUGGUGCCCUGCUAUGUAUCAACUAAUAUCAAAAAUAUUUAUUCUACCUCUAUUGUUGACUCAAGAAGCUCAGUUCCAGUUAAAGGAACAGUUCUUGCGCACCUUUCUUAUUUUGGUCUUCUACGGAGUAUAUUCGAGCUCUAUAAGCCGCAGCUCCACCUCUAUGGGUGGGGUUGCUGAAGGAUAAUGGUGCCUGAAGCAACCAUAGUCUCAGGUCAUAUCAGCAAGGAGCUUAGGAACAGCCAGUAGUUGCAGUUUACUUUAGCCUCCUGGAUCUUGACGCCUCCAUUUACUGAUCACCAAUGGGCGUUAUGCAUCCGUCAUUCCCUAAUUUACAUAACAAUGUGCGUCAUCUUCCAACUUGGCGAAUUGUCCGUUCAGCUAACAUCUGUAGCAUGCUUUUGGAUUGGGUUUCUGCUGGUUGUCUGUAGCAUAUGGUCCGUGGAGACUUAUCUUUUGGUACAUUUAAAAGGGACAUUAUCAUUCAAAAACACAACAAAGACCUUAAACGUAUUUGUUCCAUAUGUCCAGUUUAUAUGCCACUGCAAUAUCCAUUGCUAUUUACUUUUGGUGAGCGUGGAUUUCAAUUUGGUGUUCCAUAUGUUGAAAUGGAGGUUCUGGGAGUGAGAAGAUGAGGAUCAACUGCUGCAGCAUCUGGCGCAACAAGGCACUGAGGAGGAUGUGUUUCAGUGAAAGGGGUGCUGUGAGCAGCACCCAGUGUGUGCUCACAUCAGAUGCUGGCCCAGACACUCUUGUCGUCCGAACAUCCUUUCGGAGGAAUUAUGCUGAUCCUAACGAAGUCACUGCUGUCAUUUUGGGUGGUGGUACCGAGACUCAGCUUCUCCCUCUCACAUCGGCACAUCGCUAGGGUUCAGGCUCUUUUAGUGAAACUGGUGUGCUUUACCUCUGAAUCUUUGCUGGUGGCAUCUUUGUAGCUGGGGAAGACGACCGGGGAAGGAAAAGCCAGCAAGAGGGACACAAAGAGCACCACCAGCACAAGUUGACCCUCCCAACUAUUUCGAAUUAUACCAUUCACGAUGCCACUGACGGCACCGACAAUGGCAAACAGGAAGAUACAGAAUUUAAUCUCACUCCGGAUGUUGACUAGAGAAAUGGUCGAGACAGAUCUCAUCAAGCAGGUUAGUAAUUUCUUAGAUUAAUA